CAGAACCUUUCCCUAUUCCCCAUCCCCUAUCAUUUAUUGUCGACUUUAUUGCAUGCCAUAAUUCCUUGGGGUACACCAAAGCACAUACAUUUGGCCCUCUUUCGGAGGAAUGAUCGAAUUUGAAAUACAACAGCUCGCAAGAGGUCAAACAGACCAUUAUAAUGUUACUUGUGUGUAAAUAAUUUCUCCUGUACUUAUUAUUAAGUGCUUCACAAAGAGUACUUCUUGUGAUCACACCAUUAUGUGCAUGAGAAAGCUUCUUUGGGGAUUUGAACUAAGAAUAGUUCAGAAAUGGAAGUGUCCGUAUCUAACAGAAGUGCUUUCCUGGAAUGCCAGGAAAAGGCAUAGGAACCUGGCGGCAUACCAUAUAUGUAUACGAAACGUCAGUGGAAGUGGAAGUAAUGGAGGCGUUUUACAGCACUU
rnacentral:sRNA from 1 species